UCAUUGAUUUCUGCUCUAUUCUUAUUUUUUUUAUUCUUUUUUAAAUAAAAAUUUAAAUUUUGAGAUCAUUAUAGAUUCAUGUGCUGUUGUAAGAAAUAAUACAGACAGAAUCCAUGUACCCUUUACACAGUUCCCCCAAUACUGUAGUAACAUCUUGCAAAACUAUAGUACAAUAGCAUAGUAAAAUAUAGAACAUAUCCAUCACCACCGGAUUUCUCAUGUUGCCCUUUUAUUAUGCUUUUUGAUGCUUAAGUUGUUCAAACUUUGGCCAGUAGGAACCCUUUUGACUUCCCUGUGUCUUUUUAUGUAAUUACAUUAUCUUCAUUUUCUUGCUUUCUGGCAGAACGAGAUGUCUCAAAAUUACCUGUACUAUUUUACCAGAGACCUGGAAUCAGCUAUUUCUUCAAGGAACCUUUAAUAACCAAUGGCAUUUCAAAACAAUAUUCUGAUGGCCAGGGCAUCAUUUCUCCUGGGCACUUUCAAAGCAUAAAGAUGAAAAUGUUUACAUAUUUCAAAAUGUUUCUCCAUUAUAUUCCUGCAGUAAAUGUUACUGUCAAGAAACCUGAUGCCAACUUGAUUUUCUUCCUUUGUGAUUUUGGACCACGUGACUGCGUUACGGCCAAUGGGAAUGUGAAAGGAAGAGAUGUGCUACUUCCUGUCUGAGGCGGUUGAGUAGGUGAG